UACGGGGGGGGCAAGCGUUGUUCGGAAUUACUGGGCGUAAAGGGCUUGUAGGUGGCCAACUAAGUCAGACGUGAAAUCCCUCGGCUUAACCGGGGAACUGCGUCUGAUACUGGAUGGCUUGAGUGUGGGAGAGGGAUGCGGAAUUCCAGGUGUAGCGGUGAAAUGCGUAGAUAUCUGGAGGAACACCGGUGGCGAAGGCGGCAUCCUGGACCGGCAUUGACGCUGAGUGAGCGAAAGCCAGGGGAGCAAACGGG
rnacentral:rRNA from 1 species